CUCCUCCGCCAGCCGCGGGCGAGCCAAGAAAGGGGAGAGCAAAGCACCGGGCGGAGGGGAGGGGGCGCGAGGAGGAGGCGGAGAUUCCGGGGACAAGGUCGGUUCGGCCCGAGACUGAAAGAAACUGGGAGCCAGGCGGGGGCGGCGGAAGCGCGAGUCCAGAACUGAGCCCGGCGGGGCCGUGCGCGGCGAGGCUGCUCCCGGUCCGCUGCGCGGAUGGACGGCGGGCCGGAGCCCCGGGCCGGGGCGGAUCCGGGCACAGCGGGCGCCGCACUCCCGCAAACAGGGCCGUGGACCCCGCGGGCCGUGGCUCUCCCCCGAGGCGCGCCCUCUGAGCUGCUGCCUGUGGACUGCGGCACGGAGGCUGCAGAACUUCGCGGCCGCCCGACUGACGGGGUCUGCCCUGGUUUAUUUAUUUUUAUCUUUUUUUAAAGUAAGAGUGCAGAAGGCUUCCCCUCCUCUCACGCCACCUCUCCAAAGAGGGCCAAUGUGGGUGACUUUCUGAGUGGUCCCCAAAGCAGAUCCCGAGGCCUGCGCGUCGCGAAUCUUCUCUGCCAGGGCGCUGGUGGAGUAGUUUCUCAGCUGGUGCCUCUGGCCCAGCGAAUCCUGCCUGAUGGCGGUGGUUCUGGAACGCCCUGUGGAUUCGCCCUAAGGCCUUGUAGGCCCGGGGACUCUGGGGAUAUUGUAUAAAGCAGGAAAAUACGUAAAUGCGUUCCAGGGGGAAGGUAGCGUGGCCGAGCGGUCUAAGGCGCUGGAUUAAGGCUCCAGUCUCUUCGGAGGCGUGGGUUCGAAUCCCACCGCUGCCAGCUUGGCGUGGUUUGUCCAUUUUUGUCCCCCCAUAGGUUACAAAAGGAGGAUUCGUUGGAACUUUCCUCGGGCCCCACGCUUGCUCGGGAUCUGGAUUCCAUUUGGCAGCGCGCAGCCGUCCAGUGGACGGGCUUUGUAGGGAGUUCCUCGGACCUGGUGUUCACAGCAAGUGAGAAAAGGCAGAUGAAAACAGAGGAAAAGCAGAUCACUUCUUGUGUACCGCUGAGGCUGAGAGCAAGGAUUGGCUGCAGAUGGGCAUGUUGGAAAUCUUUGUGGUAACGGAACUGUUUUAAAAGCGGAUUGUGGUGAUGGUUGCAGAAUCCUAUGCAGUGACUAAAAAAUCAUUGAUCUGUGUAUUUACAAUGAGUGGAUUUUAUUGUAUUGAAUUGUACCCCAAUAAAGCUGUUAUAGAAUGCUAAACCAUAAAAACAAACCUCCAAACACAGCAACAGGCAGUUAGUGAUUCCCUGGGAUCAGCUCAGGUGACAGUUGCAUUGUGCAAAAUGAUUCCUGUGACCCAGAGUAUAAUUAAUGUUUACAUAAUGCUUUACCGCAGCCUUGGAGGGCAGGUAACUUGCACCUUGAAACUUGAAGGUCUUGCUAGUAUUGCUUGUAAUCAAAGUAAAGUAAUUGUAUAAAUAAACAAGGUGUGAAUAAAUUUAA